rnacentral:misc_RNA from 1 species
GCAAAGCUCCGAUCUUCAAAAGCAAGAGAAAAUAGAGAAAGCUUCAAUGGCGGAAAAACAUGAAAAUCUCAGCUCAACAUCGGAACAACAAUCGUCUUCUUCUGCCUCUGCUUAUCAAAAAUCUCCAGAAGAAACCCUUAAGAAACAACCCCAGCUCCCAUCAUUUCAGGGUUCACCGAUGUUAAAUUAUCAGAUGCUCCAAGCCAUGUAUCCAACACUGCUUCCUGGAGCUUUCGGUAUGCAGCCAAAUCAGGAGGAGUUGAACCAUGGACCAGGCCUUUAUGCUGUACCUGUUGCCCCUUUUAUGGGACAAUAUGCAGGGUUUCCACCAAACACUCUAAUUCCAUUUACUUACGCUGUACCUACUGGACCUAGUGUUCCAGAAAAUGGAGCUGUAGGUGAGGAGCAAGGUCAGAUGGGACAGCAGCAGCCUCAGCAGCAACAGCUUGGACCCCAACGACAAAUAGUUGUCAGAAGAUUUCAAAUUGCAUUUCAGCUAGAUCUCUUGCUUAUUUUGAAGCUGGCUGCAGUGAUUUUUUUGUUCAAUCAAGAUGGAUCAAGACAGAGACUUGUUCUGCUUGUGUUUUUAGCUUCACUUGUGUACCUAUAUCAAACUGGAGCUCUUGCACCCUUGGUACGGUGGCUUUCACAAGGAAUGCAGAGGGCUGCUGCACCUCCCCAACCACCUAGGCCAGCUGUAAGGGCAGAUAAUGUACCAGGUGCUGGAAGGCAAGGAAAUGACAAUGUUGCAGCUGGAGAGGGACAACCUGGAGGUGAAAAUGAGAAUCUACUAGGUAACGAUGUAAAUAGGGUAGGCGAGAAUGAGCAGGCAGUGGAACCCGGAGCUGCUGACGCUGGCAACCGUUGGUGGGGUAUCGCAAAGGAGAUCCAAAUGAUUGUCUUUGGCUUCAUAACUUCCCUUCUUCCAGGUUUUCACAACAUUGACUAGAUUGUACAGAUCAAGUAGCAGUUGCAGAUAGCAAAGAGGGAUAAAGAGAAUUUUUCUUUUGCUACCAUGUUGUUUUGAGAGGACAUCAAAUGUAUAACUUAAAGAUAGUUUUCUCUUCUAUUUGGUCAUAACAUAGAUCAUCAUAGUUUUCUCUUCUAUUUGGUCAUAACAUAGAUCAUC